ACCUUGAGUCUCUUGGCUAAUGAUUUGUAGUUAUAAUUUGAGAUUUUGGAUAAAAUCUCUGCAGAGGUGGUGUUUGCUGAACAUAGUGUUUUUUUCUACCACUAUCACUAAAGAGUAAAGGGUAUUAGUUUACAAUGACGAAAGCAACUCCCAAGAACAAUAUAAAAUAUCUUAUAUUAUAUCAUCAAUGAAGUUAUAUAAAGUUAUAUUUGUACUUUGAAGGGUGUUUAAGGUUUUGCUUUUAGUUUUAUCAUCACCAGCCCAUUGUCUUCUGUUAUAAUUUUGUCAUCUACUAUUUUUGACAUGGGUGUGGAAUGGUUGUAGGAAAGAGGUAGGAUGAAGGGAGGUUAGAAAGGGAGAUAGCAUCAACACAAAUUGCUAAAGAACAAUGAGAUCAUUUUGAGGACUAUAUUUAGUUUUAUAGUGUGUAUUAUUUCUUUGAAUUUCCUUUUCAUUACUUAAUUUCAUUUUAUUAUUACUACUACUUAAUUUCAUUUCAUUUUAUCAUUUUGAGGACU
rnacentral:lncRNA from 1 species